rnacentral:tRNA from 1 species
GGGGUUGUGGCUCAGCGGUAGAGUGCUCACCUAGCAUGUGCAGGGUGCUGGGUUUGAUCCUCAGCACCACA